GCCUUUGAGGUGAGAACUAGACUUGGAUUGGGCUGCCCCAGGCCAGUGGGUCCAUGACGGUCUUGCGCGUGCCCCGACACCCACAGACACGCGCACGCCCGGGUGAGCAGGUUGCGAGGACGGCACCCUCCUGGGCCCUGUGUCUAACUUGAGACAGAGGACGCUUAAGACUAACUUUCUUUGAUAGGAAUACCUGAGGAAUGGCGGUCUGUACCACUGGUUAUGCAAGUGCUGAGGAACAGGAGCAGUGGGAGGCUUGGAUUCAGGAGGUCUUCGUGAGCAAGAAAGAAGUCUGGAGGGCAAACGAGGUCUGCAAGUGGUGGCACUUGCAGAGGUGUAAACAUAGAGAUCGGCACGAAUGUUGUCUCUGAGGACUGGCCUGGCUGCAAUGAAGGCAGAGCAAGGGCCUCUGGAAAGCCUGCGGCACACCCCCAAUUCUGAUUCAGUGAUUUUGCAGCUCCUGUGCUAAAAUCUAAAGAUUUGGAAAUUAAGAGGAUGAUAACAUCUUGUCUCAAAAACCUUGCAACCUUCUGUAAGAGACAGACAUAUGAAUAAACCACUAAAAUCAACUGCGGUGGAUGUGAUACCACAAGAUCUUACAGAAGCUAAAGCAGGAUAACAGAAGUCACUCUUAGGAUUAGGAAGGGUGGUGGCCAAGGGAUGUCUCAAAGAGCAAUGUACUGGAUUUUCAAGGAUGAAGAGGAUUCUGCUAGGGAGAUGAAUGGAAAUCUGCAUGUCAAUCAGAAGGAAAAUGCCCAAAUAGCUGGGGACGUGAGGAGCAUGGUAUGAUUGAGGCACUACCUGUAUUUGUUAUUGCUAUGGCAUUAUGGUUAUUGCUGCAGCAGAGGUAGAAGGGGCGUUAAGUAGAUACCAGAUCAGAAAGGGCAUUGAGGGGCCUCCCCGGUGGCACAGCGGUUGAGCGCUGGGUUGCGAAGCUGCCCGCAGCCUCUGCAGCGCCAGUUCGAUCCCCGGCUGCUCCCUGGCCACUGGAGGAGGGUCCCGCAUGGCGCGCAGACCUCUCCUGCUGCCUGCUGCUCCCCUCAGCACUGUGCUUCAGUCCUUCUACCUGCUCUGCUCCCCUCUCUGGCUCUGGUGAAUUCUCUCACCCUCCUGAGCCUCUGACUGUACCCAGUGCUUGCUUAAAUAAAUAAAUAA